GGGAUUACCUGGGUGUGUCUAAGGUGUUUGUUUUUUUUUUCUUUUUCUAAACACCUUAGACACACCCAGGUAAUCCCUA